rnacentral:rRNA from 1 species
AUUGAACGCUGGCGGCAGGCCUAACACAUGCAAGUCGAGCGGGGUUUUCGGACCUAGCGGCGGACGGGUGAGUAAUGCGUAGGAAGCUACCCGAUAGAGGGGGAUACCAGUUGGAAACGACUGUUAAUACCGCAUAAUGUCUACGGACCAAAGUGGGGGACCUUCGGGCCACAUGCUAUCGGAUGCGCCUACGUGGGAUUAGCUAGUUGGUGAGGUAAUGGCUCACCAAGGCGACGAUCCCUAGCUGGUUUGAGAGGAUGAUCAGCCACACUGGAACUGAGACACGGUCCAGACUCCUACGGGAGGCAGCAGUGGGGAAUAUUGGACAAUGGGUGCAAGCCUGAUCCAGCCAUGCCGCGUGUGUGAAGAAGGCCUUCGGGUUGUAAAGCACUUUCAGUAGGGAGGAAGCGUUGUGUGUUAAUAGUACACAGCGUUGACGUUACCUACAGAAGAAGCACCGGCUAACUCUGUGCCAGCAGCCGCAGUAACAC